UGGGGAAUAUUGGACAAUGGGCGAAAGCCUGAUCCAGCCAUGCCGCGUGUGUGAAGAAGGUCUUCGGAUUGUAAAGCACUUUAAGUUGGGAGGAAGGGCAGUAAGCGAAUACCUUGCUGUUUUGACGUUACCGACAGAAUAAGCACCGGCUAACUCUGUGCCAGCAGCCGCGGUAAUACAGAGGGUGCAAGCGUUAAUCGGAAUUACUGGGCGUAAAGCGCGCGUAGGUGGUUCGUUAAGUUGAAUGUGAAAGCCCCGGGCUCAACCUGGGAACUGCAUACAAAACUGGCGAGCUAGAGUAGGGCAGAGGGUGGUGGAAUUUCCUGUGUAGCGGUGAAAAGCGUAGAUAUAGGAAGGAACACCAGUGGCGAAGGCGACCACCUGGGCUCAUACUGACACUGAGGUGCGAAAGCGUGGGGAGCAAACAGG
rnacentral:rRNA from 1 species